ensembl:lncRNA
AAGCUACUGCUGACUAAAGUAUUGUUGCUGACCAAGUCCAUCCCUUCAUAACCACAGUAUAUCCAUCUUUUCAAGACUGCUUCCAACAAGACAACACACCAUGUCGCAAAGCUUAAAUCAUUUCAAACUAUUUUACUGAACAUGACAGGGAGUUUACUGUUCUCUGGCCUCCACAGUUACCAGAUCCCAAUCUGGCUUUACACAGGGCACCCUUGAGAUGUGAUGGAAUGAGAGAUUAGAAUAAUGGAUAUACAUCUGAAAAAUCUGUGCAACUGUGUGAUGCUGUCAUGUUAAUAUGAACCAAAAUCUCUAAGGAAUGUUUACAGUUCCUUUUUGAUUCUAUGUCACAAAUACUGAAGGCAACAGGGCGUCCAACCCAGUACUAGUAGGGUGUAAGUAAUGGAGUGGCUUGUGAGUGAAUGUACUAGGCUUCGGGAUGGAUUUGUUCUUAAAUUAUUGACAGCCGGACUUAUUAUUUUUAUUUCUUAAAGAUUGUUAAAAAAAAAAAACAAAUCACCUUUUUUGCAUAUGUUUAGAGUACUUUCUGAUUUGUAAAGUAAUAAAAAAAAGCACUGUAAAGUUUUAAAACCUUUGACUCUAAUGUGGCAGCAAAAUAAAAAAAGUUAAAUGCCUUACCCAGUGUUUGGAUUUCUACUUUAAAAUGCAAAUUGAUGCAUUUUUUUUUUUUUUUUUUUAAAUGACAUCAGAAACAGCAGUAUGCGACAUUACGUGAUGGCAGAGCUUCAGUUCAUCCUUUGUCAUUUUUUUUUUUUUUUUUUUUUAAUAAAUAGGACAGGGGGAAUGAAUGAGAGAGAGAGGGGGAGAGAAAGAAAGAAAACCAAAGGGGAGAAGAGAGGGUGAGAAGGGGGGGGAAGAGAGAGAAAAAAAAAAAAACUCCUGGGUCACCUGUAUGGAGAAAAAAAAAAAAAAACAAACAAACAAAAACAAACAGAGGAGACAGCAAACAACAAAGAGCAACAUAAUAAUAGAGAAAACAAAGCACCAUCACAAUAAACUAGCUAGUCAUAGAUAUCAGUAUUUACUAAGUAAUAAACGAUAUUGUGCAGCACGCAAGAUAGACAGCGCACAGUGUGCUUUGAGGCAGCAGCCAAGAAAGCUUUAGUCCGCGUCUUCCAAGGUUGAGGUCACCGCCAAGAAUGAGUGUGCAAUCAAGGUGUUCAGAGAGUGCACUAAAAAAACCGUGGAAGAAUGAGGGUUCAUCAACAUUUGGACCAUAUAUACUAACAAUACAUAGUUUUUUGUUCAAUAUUGAUAGUUUA